UGGGGAAUUUUGCACAAUGGGGGAAACCCUGAUGCAGCGACGCCGCGUGAUUUCGAAGGCCUUCGGGUUGUAAAAAUCUUUUUUACGGGAUGAAAAUGACAGUACCGUAAGAAUAAGGUCCGGCUAAAUACGUGCCAGCAGCCGCGGUAAUACGUAUGGACCGAGCGUUGUCCGGAAUCAUUGGGCGUAAAGGGUACGUAGGCGGCCUAGUAAGUUAGAAGUGAAAUAAUAUAGCUCAACUAUAUAAAGCUUUUAAAACUGCUAGGCUUGAGAGAUGGAAGGGAAAGUGGAAGUCCUAGUGUAGCGGUGAAAUGCGCAGAUAUUAGGAAGAAUACCGGUGGCGAAGGCGACUUUCUGGUCAUCAUCUGACGCUGAGGUACGAAAGCGUGGGUAGCAAACAGG
rnacentral:rRNA from 1 species